UAGAGUGACGUGAGAGAAUAGAAAUAUUUUAUGUCCUAACAAAGUAAAAAUUAUACCAUCAACAAAAACUGGAAGAAAAAUGGGAAAGGAAGUGGGAGGGAAACUACAGAUUUCCUUAUGUGUAGUAUCUGGAGUAAAAAGAUAUCAUUUAAAGAUAACAUGUUAAGUAAUAUCUGUAUAAAUAUUUAAUAAUACAAAGGUAAAUUCUAAAGCUAGGUGAUAGAGACAAGGUAGAAAAAGGAAGAAAAAUAGGAAAGAUUUUAAUUUUACCAUUGCUCAAAUAAGGGAACUCAUAGACAGUGUCUAAAAAUAUGAAGAACUAAGAACAUUAAAUGAAGCUAUAAUCACAGAAGUAACAAUGAGAACAAACUUCCAGACCUUUCUUAAUAUCAGUAGAAUCACAUACAGAAAGCAAAAUGAAGAAAACCGACAACAGGCCUUACGCUACACUGCCUUCUCCCUCCCAGCCUGCACCUGUGCUUUCCUACAAUCAGUUGACAGAGGAAGAGAAGACCUGGGCGUGGUUUACAGAUGGUUCUGCACAAUAUGCAGGCACCACCCGACAGUGGACAGUGGCGGCACUGCAGCCCCUUUCUGGGACAUCUCUGAAGGACAGUGGUGAAGAGAAAUCCCCGUAGUGGGCAGAACUUUAAGCAGUGUACCUGGUUGUUCACUUUGCUUGGAAGGAGAAGUGGACAGAUGUGCAAUUCAUGGGAUGUGGCCAAUGGUUUGCUGGAUGGGUAGGAAUUUAGAAGGAACAUGAUUGGAAAACUGGCAACAAGGAAAUUUGGGGAAGAGGUAUGUGGAUAAACCUCUCUGAAUGGGUAAAAUAUGUUAAGAUAUUUGUGUUCUAUGAGACUACUCAUCAAAGGGUGACCUCAGCAGAGGAGGAUUUUAAUCAUCAAGUGGAUAGGAUGACCCACUCUAUAGAUACCAAUCAGUCUCCCCCUAGCUACCCAUGUCAUUGCCCAGUGGGCUCUUGAACAAAGUGGCCGUGGUGGCACGGUUGGAGGUUAUGCAUAGGUUCAGCAUCAUGGACUUCCACUCACCAAGGCCAACAUGGCUAUGGCCAAUGCUGAGUACCCAAUCUGCCAGCAGCAGAGACUGAAACUGAGUACCCAAUAUGGCACCAUCUCCUGGUGUGAUCAGCCAACUACCUGAUGGCAGGCUGAUUACAUUGUAUGGCAAUCAUUAUGGAAGGGACAUUGUUAUCUUCUUACUGGUAUAGAUAUUUCCUCUAGAUAUGAAUUUGCCUUUCCUGCACACAAUACUUCUGCCAAGUCCAUGAAUUUAGAGAAUGCCUUAUCUACCAGCAUGGUACUGUGCACAGCAUUGCUUCUGAUGAAGUAACUCACUUCACAUCGAAAGCAGUGAGGCAAUGGACCCAUGCUCACGGAAUUCACUGGUCUUACCAUGUUCCCCACCAUCCUAAAGCAGGUGGCUUGGUAGAAUGGUGAACUUGCCUUUUGAAGACUCAAUUAUAGCACCAUCUAGGUGGCAACAUUGCAGGGCUAGGGGGAGGUUCUCCAGAAGGUGGUAUAUGCUCUGAAUCAGCAUCGAACAAAUGGUGCUGUUUCUCCCAUAUCUAGGAUUGAAGGGUCCAGGAUUCAAGGGGUGGAAAUGGGAGUGACACCACUCACUAUUAACCCUAGUGACGCACUAACAAAAUCUUCCUAUUCCUUUCCUAUUCCUAUCCUAUUCCUAUUCCUAUCUUAUGCUCUACUGGUCUAGAGGUCUGAGUUCCAAGGGGAGGAAUGAUUUCACUGAACUGGAAGUUAAAACUGCUGCCCAACCAUGGUGGACUCCUUGUGUCUCUGAAAUAACAGGCAAAGAGGGGAGUUACUGUGCUGGCUGGAGUGACUGAUCCUGACUACAAGGGGAAAUUGCACUGCUACUCCACAAUGGAGAGUCGUUGUACCACGUUACAUGCUUACCAGCAGAACCUGAGAAUUCCAGUUCCUUCACAUUAGUAAGAUUCCUGCUCUUGCAGUUGGAAAAGGCCGGGACAGAGAAAGAGGAUUCUGCUAGGGGCAAGACGAAGAGCAGGGUCAGCAAACAUUGCUGCCCAGAGAGAGGCAAGAUGUGGUCAUAAGAAAAAGGGCACAUUCAUAGAACACAUAUUCACAAAGAAUAUAUUCUCAAGGAAAACGACCUUUUUAUAAAUACAUUCUUCUUAUAAAUAAGAAGCUACCCCCAGCUUCCUCCUUUGUUCCCCACACAUUUUGCCCCAUUUCUUCUCUUCUCUGUAGUCUCCUUCCUCGCUGGGAGGGCUGCGCUGUGUGCUUACCCUGCUCCCUGUCUCUUCCCAAGUAGUCAUUCAUCCCUGCUCCCUCCAGCGCCCUAGCAAGGAGCUGGGGCAGAGACAAACCCGAUGCUCCUUCGAAUGCUAUUAGGGAGACAAAAUGAAAACUAGCCCAUUAGAACUAAGUAGUGACAAGAAAUAGUAAAUUCAUAGAAGCGGUUAUGCAGUGAAUCAGACUCAUUUCCUCCGGGCCCCUGCUCACAUGACUACUUUUCUACAAAGCCUUCUCUGACUCUCCUUGGCAGGUCCCAUUACACCUUGUUCACACCUCUAUUACAUUGCUUAGAAGUGACAUGAAAAUAGAAGCAUUCUAUCUUAGUUACUUGACUUCAUAAGUAGUCCAAUUUCUAGACUGUUUAUCCCUUUAACAACUACUUAAUAAACAAAAAUGUCUUCGUUAAACAGACAUUUGUGGGGAGGGGGGCAAAAUGGGUGAAGGGGGUGAAAAGGUACAAACUCCAGCUAUCGAAUAAAUGUCAUGGGGAUGUAAUGUACAGCAUGGUGACUAUAGUUAGUAAUACUGUAUU